rnacentral:rRNA from 1 species
ACGGGGUGCAGCAGGCGCGAAACCUCCACAAUGCGCGAAAGCGUGAUGGGGUUAUCCCGAGUGCCGUCCGAUGAGGAUGGCUUUUAAUCGAUGUAAGGAUUCGAUAGAAUAAAGGGGGGGCAAGACUGGUGUCAGCCGCCGCGGUAAUACCAGCCCCCUGAGUGGUAAGGACGAUUAUUUGGCCUAAAGCGUUCGUAGCCGGCUUAUCAAGUCUUUUGUUAAAUCCAACGAUUUAAUCGUUGGGCCGCAAAAGAUACUGUUAUGCUAGAGGACGGGAGAGGUCGACGGUAGUCCAGGGGUAGGGGUGAAAUCCUAUAAUCCUUGGAGGACCACCAGUGGCGAAGGCGGUCGACUAGAACGUGCCUGACGGUGAGGGACGAAAGCUGGGGGAGCGAACCGGAUUAGAUACCCGGGUAGUCCCAGCUGUAAACGAUGCGGGCUAGGUGUUGGGGCAGCCACGAGCUGCUCCAGUGCCGCAGAGAAGUUGUUAAGCCCGCCGCCUGGGAGUACGCCGCAAGGC